rnacentral:ncRNA from 1 species
CGUAUGCCAUGUUGGGGUCACCAACAACCGACCUUGAUCUUCGGUGAAAGGUUUGAGUAUGAGCAUAUCCGUUAGGACCCGAAAGAUGGUGAACUAUGCCUGAGCAGGGUGAAGCCAGGGGAAACUCUGGUGGAGGCUCGUAGCGAUACUGACGUGCAAAUCGUUCGUCAGACUUGGGUAUAGGGGCGAAAGACUAAUCGAACCAUCUAGUAGCUGGUUCCCUCCGAAGUUUCCCUCAGGAUAGCUAGAGUCUUUAUCAGUUUUGUCAGGUAAAGCGAAUGAUUAGAGGUUCCGGGGAAGUAACUUCCUCGACCUAUUCUCAAACUUUAAAUGGGCAAGAUCCAGUAGUUACUUAAUUGAACUAUUGGGGUCAAUGAGACGACUCUAAGUGGGCCAUUUUUGGUAAGCAGAACUGGCGAUGAGGGAUGAACCUAACGCUCGGUUAAGGUGCUAAACUGCUCGCUCAUCAGAUACCACAAAGGGUGUUGGUCGAUCUUAACAGCAGGACGGUGGUCAUGGAAGUCGAAAUCCGCUAAGGAGUGUGUAACAACUCACCUGCCGAAUCGACUAGCCCCGAAAAUGGAUAGCGCUGAAGCGAGUGACCGAUACCGGGCCAUUGUUGCAAGAUAAUUGGCAACAAUGAGUAGGAGGGCGUGGGGGUUGUGAAGAAGCUUGGACGUGAGUCUGAGUGAAACAGCUUCCAGUGCAGAUCUUGGUGGUAGUAGCAAGUAUUCAAUAAGAGAACAUUGAAGGCCGAAGUGGGGAAGGGUUCCAUGUGAACAGCACUUGGACAUGGGUUAGCCGAUCCUGAGAGACAGGUUAAAUUCCAUCGGAUUGGAGCUUUGGCUCUGUUUCUCGAAAGGGAAGCUGGUUAGUAUUCCAGCGCCGAGACGUGGAUAAUAUGUGGCAACACAAGUGAACUCGGACACGCCAUAGGGGACCCCAGGAAGCGUUGUCUUUUCUUUUUAACAGUUCGACUUACCCUGGAAUCAGAUCAUCUGGAGAUAGGGUUUUCGAACUGGAAUAGCACCUGUCUAACAGGGU